rnacentral:lncRNA from 1 species
AAGUGAAAAAGGAAAGGGGGAGAAGGGAACUUAUAUUAUCAAAUAAAAUAGCACUUGUAAAGCACUUGGCACCAUGCAUGGCACAUAGUCAGCCCUUAAGGAAUGUUUGUUGACUAACUGGUUUCCCACUAUAGCAUGUAAGCCCUACCAGUGCUCUGAAUCUUCUGUAUCUCCUUACUACCAGGGAUGAAAUCAAGUGAUGCUGCCUCCUUCUGUUCCUUCCCCAUCAAGACUACACUUUUCCUCACUUCUCAUAAACAACUUUGCAGUCAUUGUCCUCAUUUUGUUUCCUCA